UUAGACGAGGUGUUGAACACCGUCGAGUCGCCGAUUCCCUCUCCUGACAGAGAGGUUGAGUCGGCGAUUCCGGUCAUGCCACCUCGUAGUAUGGAGCUGAGUGCCACCGUGCACGAACUGCUUGGCGCCUCGCCAGUGUCGGCGACUCCCCUUGUGGAGUCGGCGACUCAGUGCAAGGCCCUUGUGGUCGUACGGGAGCCUCUUGAGCUGGGGGAGAUU
rnacentral:lncRNA from 1 species